rnacentral:rRNA from 1 species
AUUGAACGCUGGCGGCGUGCCUAACACAUGCAAGUCGAGCGGUAACAGGUGUAGCAAUACAUGCUGACGAGCGGCGAACGGGUGAGUAAUGCUUCGGAAUCUGCCCAUGUAGUGGGGAAUAACCAGCCGAAAGGUUGGCUAAUACCGCAUACGACCUACGGGUGAAAGCAGGGGAUCGCAAGACCUUGCGCUAUUGGAUGAGCCGAAGUCGGAUUAGCNGUUGGUAGGGUAACGGCCUACCAAGGCGACGAUCCGUAGCUGGUCUGAGAGGACGACCAGCCACACUGGGACUGAGACACGGCCCAGACUCCUACGGGAGGCAGCAGUGGGGAAUAUUGGACAAUGGGGCAACCCUGAUCCAGCGACGCCGCGUGUGUGAAGAAGGCCUGCGGGUUGUAAAGCACUUUUAGUGGGGAUGAAAAGCACAUGGCUAAUAUCCGUGUGUCUUGACCUAACCCAAAGAAAAGCACCGGCUAACUCUGUGCCAGCA